UCGGGAAUUUUGGGCAAUGGGCGAAAGCCUGACCCAGCAACGCCGCGUGAGGGAUGAAGUAUUUCGGUAUGUAAACCUCGAAAGAAUGGGAAGAAUAAAUGACGGUACCAUUUAUAAGCUCCGGCUAACUACGUGCCAGCAGCCGCGGUAAUACGUAGGGAGCAAGCGUUGUUCGGAUUUACUGGGCGUAAAGGGCGCGUAGGCGGCGCGGUAAGUCACUUGUGAAAUCUCUGAGCUUAACUCAGAACGGCCAAGUGAUACUGCUGUGCUAGAGUGCGGAAGAGGCAACCGGAAUUCUGGGUGUAGCGGUGAAAUGCGUAGAUAUCAAGAGGAACACCUGAGGCGAAGGCGGGUUGCUGGGCCGACACUGACGCUGAUGCGCGAAAGCCAGGGGAGCAAACG
rnacentral:rRNA from 1 species